CCUACGGGCGGCUGCAGUGAGGAAUAUUGGUCAAUGGGCGAGAGCCUGAACCAGCCAAGUCGCGUGAGGGAGUACUGCCCUAUGGGUUGUAAACCUCUUUUGUCGGGGAGCAAAAGCCGGACGUGUCCGGCUGUGAGAGUACCCGAAGAAAAAGCAUCGGCUAACUCCGUGCCAGCAGCCGCGGUAAUACGGAGGAUGCGAGCGUUAUCCGGAUUUAUUGGGUUUAAAGGGUGCGCAGGCGGAUUUUUAAGUCAGCGGUAAAAUCGUGGGGCUCAACCCCAUCCAGCCGUUGAAACUGGGGAUCUAGAGUGUGCGAGAGGUAUGCGGAAUGCGUGGUGUAGCGGUGAAAUGCAUAGAUAUCACGCAGAACACCGAUUGCGAAGGCAGCAUACCGGUGCACAACUGACGCUCAGGCACGAAAGCGUGGGUAUCGAACAGGAUUAGAUACCCCAGUAGUC
rnacentral:rRNA from 1 species